rnacentral:rRNA from 1 species
CAAGGUCUCCGUUGGUGAACCAGCGGAGGGAUCAUUAAAGAGUUCUAUAACUCCCAACCCAUGUGAACAUACCGUACGUUGCCUCGGCAUGCUGCAUCUACCCUGUGAGAUCCUACCCUGUAGGACUUACCUGGGAGGUGCGCUAAAGUCUGCCGGCGGCCCAACUAACUCUGUCUAUUUUUGAAUUCUGAGGUUAUAAUAAAUAUGUUAAAACUUUCAACAACGGAUCUCUUGGUUCUGGCAUCGAUGAAGAACGCAGCGAAAUGCGAUAAGUAAUGUGAAUUGCAGAAUUUAGUGAAUCAUCGAAUCUUUGAACGCACAUUGCGCCCAUUAGUAUUCUAGUGGGCAUGCCUGUUCGAGCGUCAUUUCAACCCUUAAGCCUCUGUUGCUUAGUGUUGGGAGCCUACGGUAUCGUAGCUCCUCAAAUAUAGUGGCAGAGUCGGUUCACACUCUAGACGUAGUAGAUUCUAUCUCGCCUUUGAGUUGGACCGGUCCCCCGCCGUAAAACCCCCCUAUUUUAUAAAGGUUGACCUCGGAUCAGGUAGGAAUACCCGCUGAACUUAAGCAUA